UGGCGGAGGACAAGCAGGAUUCUCAGUGUCCACCUGGGCUCCGCCAGUACGAUACCAUUAUCUUCUUGAAGCUGCUUGUUGUUUGGGGUGGCAUUCACAAUGAGGUUUUUAAUAGAGGAGUCAUUCCACUUGCUUAUAG